UACGUAGGGGGCUAGCGUUGUCCGGAAUCAUUGGGCGUAAAGAGCGUGUAGGCGGCCCGGUAAGUCCGCUGUAAAAGUCAAAGGCUCAACCUUUGAAUGUCAGUGGAUACUGCCGGGCUAGAGUCCGGAAGAGGCGAGUGGAACUCCUGGUGUAGCGGUGGAAUGCGCAGAUAUCAGGAGGAACACCAGUGGCGAAGGCGGUGCUCUGGGCCGGAACUGACGCUGAGGAGCGAAAGCGUGGGGAGCAAACAGG
rnacentral:rRNA from 1 species